CCUACGGGUGGCAGCAGUGAGGAAUAUUGGUCAAUGGACGAGAGUCUGAACCAGCCAAGUCGCGUGAAGGAUGACUGCCCUAUGGUUUGUAAACUUCUUUUAUAAAGGAAUAAAACGCGGCACGUGUGCCGUUUUGCAUGUACUUUAUGAAUAAGGAUCGGCUAACUCCGUGCCAGCAGCCGCGGUAAUACGGAGGAUCCGAGCGUUAUCCGGCUUUAUUGGGUUUAAAGGGAGCGUAGAUGGUUUGUUAAGUCAGUUGUGAAAGUUUGCGGCUCAACCGUAAAAUUGCAGUUGAUACUGGGAGUCUUGAGUACAGUUGAGGUAGGCGGAAUUCGUGGUGUAGCGGUGAAAUGCUUAGAUAUCACGAAGAACCCCGAUUGCGAAGGCAGCUUACUAAGCUGUGACUGACAUUGAUGCUCGAAAGUGUGGGUAUCAAACAGGAUUAGAUACCCGAGUAGUC
rnacentral:rRNA from 1 species